rnacentral:snRNA from 1 species
AUUGCUUCUCGGCCUUUUGGCUAAGAUCAAGUGUAAAAUACUAUACAUAUAAGUCUAAUUACAUGAAACAGAAGUUGGUGUUUUGAUUUUUUACUUUGCUUUUCUGUUUGGAGUGUCAUUGUAACUACUGUAUUGUAAAUGAUGGAAA